GAUGAACGCUAUCGACAGGCUUAACACAUGCAAGUCGAGGGGCAGCGGGGGUAGCGAUACCCGCCGGCGACCGGCGCACGGGUGAGUAACGCGUAUGCAACUUGCCUAUCAGAGGGGGAUAACCCGGCGAAAGUCGGACUAAUACCGCAUGAAGCAGGGGCCCCGCAUGGGGAUAUUUGCUAAAGAUUCAUCGCUGAUAGAUAGGCAUGCGUUCCAUUAGGCAGUUGGCGGGGUAACGGCCCACCAAACCGACGAUGGAUAGGGGUUCUGAGAGGAAGGUCCCCCACAUUGGUACUGAGACACGGACCAAACUCCUACGGGAGGCAGCAGUGAGGAAUAUUGGUCAAUGGCCGAGAGGCUGAACCAGCCAAGUCGCGUGAGGGAUGAAGGUUCUAUGGAUCGUAAACCUCUUUUAUAAGGGAAUAAAGUGCGGGACGUGUCCCGUUUUGUAUGUACCUUAUGAAUAAGGAUCGGCUAACUCCGUGCCAGCAGCCGCGGUAAUACGGAGGAUCCGAGUGUUAUCCGGAUUUAUUGGGUUUAAAGGGUGCGUAGGCGGCCUUUUAAGUCAGCGGUGAAAGUCUGUGGCUCAACCAUAGAAUUGCCGUUGAAACUGGGGGGCUUGAGUAUGUUUGAGGCAGGCGGAAUGCGUGGUGUAGCGGUGAAAUGCAUAGAUAUCACGCAGAACCCCGAUUGCGAAGGCAGCCUGCCAAGCCAUUACUGACGCUGAUGCACGAAAGCGUGGGGAUCAAACAGGAUUAGAUACCCUGGUAGUCCACGCAGUAAACGAUGAUCACUAGCUGUUUGCGAUACACUGUAAGCGGCACAGCGAAAGCGUUAAGUGAUCCACCUGGGGAGUACGCCGGCAACGGUGAAACUCAAAGGAAUUGACGGGGGCCCGCACAAGCGGAGGAACAUGUGGUUUAAUUCGAUGAUACGCGAGGAACCUUACCCGGGUUUGAACGCAUUCGGACCGAGGUGGAAACACCUUUUCUAGCAAUAGCCGUUUGCGAGGUGCUGCAUGGUUGUCGUCAGCUCGUGCCGUGAGGUGUCGGCUUAAGUGCCAUAACGAGCGCAACCCUUGCCACUAGUUACUAACAGGUAAAGCUGAGGACUCUGGUGGGACUGCCAGCGUAAGCUGCGAGGAAGGCGGGGAUGGCGUCAAAUCAGCACGGCCCUUACAUCCGGGGCGACACACGUGUUACAAUGGCGUGGACAAAGGGAAGCCACCUGGCGACAGGGAGCGAAUCCCCAAACCACGUCUCAGUUCGGAUCGGAGUCUGCAACCCGACUCCGUGAAGCUGGAUUCGCUAGUAAUCGCGCAUCAGCCAUGGUGCGGUGAAUACGUUCCCGGGCCUUGUACACACCGCCCGUCAAGCCAUGGGAGCCGGGGGUACCUGAAGUCCGUAACCGAAAGGAUCGGCCUAGGGUAAAACUGGUGACUGGGGCUAAGUCGU
rnacentral:rRNA from 1 species